GUAAAACUCUGUCUCAAAAAAAAUUUUUUUUCUUUAAAAAGGCGCGUUCCUCCUCUUGCUUUCUGAGGACUCCCUGCUCUGUAACUGAGUAGUGGCUAAUAAACUCUCUUAAGGUCACUAGACUCUGUGACUCGCCAUGAAUUCCAUCGCAUGUGAGAUCCAAAAACCCAUUGUUGGGGUCUGGGACAAGACCCCUUUUCUGGCGACAAAACUAUACUAAUUAUUUUCUUUUCUUUUCUUUUUUUGAGAUAGGGUCUUGCUCUGUUGCCCAGGCUGGAGUGAAGUGGCGUGAUCUCGGCUUACUGCUUCCUUCACCUCCCAGGUUCAAGCGAUUCUUCAGCCUCCUGAGUAGCUGGGAUUACAGGUGCCUACCAUGCUUUAAGAAGCCUGGGAUUCUUCUGCUGGAAAAAUAAGUGUGUUGAGACAAAAUGAGUUGGAGAAGGUUGUUAUUGAAGGGAAGCAGAAUUGUUUUUACUGAUCUGCUUAUUACCCUUACCUUCACCCCCCCACCCCCACCUUAAUCUCUAACCCUAAACCCUAACCCCCUGACCCUAACCCUACCCCUACCCCAAUCCCUAACCCUACUCUUUAGCCCUGACCCCGACCCUUGACCCUUGACCCCGGCCCCCAAACCCUGACACCAACCCUAACCUUAAUCCCUAACCCUAACCCUACCCCUACCCCUAACCUUAACCCUUUACAUCUGCCCAGAUUCUCCAGCAGAAGCAGGGACCCUUGGCUCCCAGCUGUGCACCACUGCAUCUGGCACAGGACUCCAUAGCAGUCCCCAAAUAGGCACCUGAAUGCCCACUGUGCCAGCCACGCAGUGGAAGCCCAGGAUGUAUUCUCACCUCCAGAACCAGGGCCCAGCUCCUGCAGCAGGCUGAUCAGGACCCACCCGCAGAGAGACCGUGGCUUUGGAGCCCUUGGUAGCAUGUCCACAGUGAAGACCAAAGUUUCAUUCUCCUCAAGUCUGACCUGGGGAGACGUGGCUGCAGGCCAUGUGAGGAAGGGUUGGAGGCCUUCGCAUUAAGUGACAAUAGACACAUUAGUAGAGGAGACAAUACUUGGCUUCUUGUUCCACAAGUGUCGUCGUGGGACAAAAUUCAUCAGAUGGCAGGAUCCAGUUUUCAAAGAGGUAAAAAUAGCCCAAAGACAAGAAACAAGACUAGAACCUGAUAACCCUCAAGGGCUAUAGUUUUCCUAUUUAAAAAA